AUAACAAUAUUGUGUUAUAUAUUAUUUCAUUUCUAUUUCAAUCUCGCUUCAUAACGAACAAAUUUUUUUGAUAAUUUUUUUUUGUGAAAAAGUUUAAUUUUAUUUCAAUAAAAAAAAAAGAAAAAAAGCCUGUUUUUAGAAGGGGCCCCUCCCUGGCAUAUUGAUUGUUGUAACCAAAUAUCUCUGAUGUGUGUAAAAUGACUUUGUAUGCAUUAAAAGCAAAACUAUUUAACCAUAAUUCUUACAAAAUUACAAAACUCAAUUUUUACAGCUUAAAACAGGUAGAUGACUAUAAAGUAAAAAUUACAGAAGUAAUAAAACCUGUGUUUAAGCUGCAACUUUUCUAAAAAAUAAAAAUUAACUUCUCAAAUAAAAAACAACAAUGACUACAGGAUUUUAACAACAACAACAACAAACAAACAAAAAUCAUCAUCUUUAAUAACAAAGGAAAGAAGAGUCUCAUCAACAAAUCAAAUUUAAAAGUGGAAAACACUCAAAAUAAAAAUCUACAAGAAAUGAAUCUCAUUGUAUUACAAACAACAACAACA